UCAACCUACUUAGCAAGUGCCAGAGUCACUCUUUCCAUCCCACGUCUCGGGAAGCAGGACCAGGACAGCAGGGUGACCUUCGCAGGAGCUCGGCUGAGCCCAGGGACUGGGUGCUGCUGGCACCCAGGAGAGCCACAAGAAAGCAGCAUGAUCCCCACACUGCCAUGGAACAGAAACCUGCUCUCAGCUGGCAUUGCCUUUGAAAUGAAGUGCUGGAAUUCCGAACACAUGGAGGAAGAGAUUUCUGUGUGGGUUGUGGGUGAGACCUGGGAAGAGGCCUCAGGCAAAUGUGACCAACCUGAAUUCCUGCUGAUUUUGUGAACUCUGCAAGUGCCUCAGAGAGAGGUGGGACUCUCAAGAAGUACGGAGGAGAGCAGGCUGCUGAGGGCUGAGGAAUGGCAGCAAUGCCCACAUGUUUUCUGUUUGUGACACCGUGGCUGAUGGGAAUCAUUUAAUCACACAGCGAGACCAGUUCACUCUACCUUUACACGAGUCCUUAAGAUGUUUCCCUUAUCUCUGACUUUCUGCAGACGGCUGGGGUUUUCCCUGCCUGGUUCCUCUGUCACCUACAGAUGGCUUUCAGUGCUUAAUCCUUGGGAAAUGUGAGUUUCUCCAUAACUCAGCCACAGUUUCCCUGCUUGGCUGUCACACAGUGUUUCAUCUUUUCACUUCUCAGUCCGCAUCUGUACAAAGAGGUCAGUAAUGAGAGGAAAACAAGCAUAGCAGGGCCAGAUACACACAGAUCCCCAAGUGUUGAGGGGCCAUAUAAUUUCUUAAAUGAAUUGGUCACAUGAUACUCAUGAUGCUCUUUUUUUUCCUUUUUCCUCCUUUACUGGGUAAUUGAAACUUCAUAGACAUUAAGAAUCUGAAACAUGCGUAACAGUUCUUUAUGUACAAACAGCUUUUUCUCUGCAAACUGAGGGGUUUGUGGGGAAGAGAGUUCUGUGAACACUGGAGCGAGCAAGCACCUGUUUCCCACAAGUGUUACAAUUCCCACAACUGGCAGGAACAGUUGAUGUUCAGGGUAUAAAUGCAAAUUUUCCAUCUCUACAUCACAGGAUUAUCUGCGUUGUCCCCAGUUAAACCUCCUCACUGAAUAUAUAAUUAAAUCUUUCCAAAUGAC